rnacentral:rRNA from 1 species
AUUGAACGCUGGCGGCAGGCCUAACACAUGCAAGUCGAGCGGAUGAAGGGAGCUUGCUCCUGGAUUCAGCGGCGGACGGGUGAGUAAUGCCUAGGAAUCUGCCUGGUAGUGGGGGAUAACGUCCGGAAACGGGCGCUAAUACCGCAUACGUCCUGAGGGAGAAAGUGGGGGAUCUUCGGACCUCACGCUAUCAGAUGAGCCUAGGCCGGAUUAGCUAGUUGGUGGGGUAAAGGCCUACCAAGGCGACGAUCCGUAACUGGUCUGAGAGGAUGAUCAGGCACACUGGAACUGAGACACGGUCCAGACUCCUACGGGAGGCAGCAGUGGGGAAUAUUGGACAAUGGGCGAAAGCCUGAUCCAGCCAUGCUGCGUGUGUGAAGAAGGUCUUCGGAUUGUAAAGCACUUUAAGUUGGGAGGAAGGGCAGUAAGUUAAUACCUUGCCGUUUUGACGUUACCAACAGAAUAAGCACCGGCUAACUUCGUG